CAUUAUCGAAUGAAAUCGGUGUCCACAAUUCUCAGGCUCCAAUCAUACGUCAUGUGCAAACGGAAAACGAAGGCUUUUUUCCUAAAUGGUGGAUAUGCGCUAUAAGGAAAUGACCCAUCAUCAAUCAGACGGGUGACAAAUCCAUAGGAGGACUUUCCAAAGCUUUUUUCCUUUGUGUACGCUCGAAAGGGAGUCCCCACAACUUUCUGUCCCCGCUGCUAGACAAAACUGCCAUCUCCAAUCAGACAAUCCCUCUCUCUCUACUCUUCUGCAAAACCCUCAACAACCCUCCCACUCCCAAAUAACCAAAUACAUACUGUAUAUCUUAUCACUCUCAGUUUGGCUAUUUUCCACCCUUCGUUUCUUACCAUAUCUGUUGCUCGUUUCCUUUUCCUUCACCAUUGUUUUAUCCCAGUUUCCAGUUGCAGCAUUUCAACUCUGUUUACAGCACCCCCCCCCCCUUUUCCGUGAGAAUUCUUCAAAGCAUUUAUUACCAGUACCAGGCAACUGAGGAAUAAAUUGUGUGUCGGCUAUAGGGGUGGUGUUAGGGUCUUAUUCUACUUCAUUGGGGUUACAUUUACUACUUGUAUUGAUUUGUUAGCAUCAAUAUAUGGAAUGUUGGUAACUGAGAGAGGGACACAGAAGGAGAAAAAGAAAGAAUUUAAGGCAUUUACUUCAACUACUUCUAAGCUGUUUAUGGAGAGGCUCCAAGGACCCAUUAAUCCUUAUUUCCUAGGAGAGCAUUUGGAGGUGGAAUGCUUAGAACAAGGUUUUAUUAGCUGUGAGAGAUUAAAGCUUGGAGAAGAAGAAGAAGAAGAAGCACACUUUUCAAUACCGAGCUUUGAAGAGAAAAUGCCAUUCCUUCAGAUGCUUCAGAGCGUGGAGUCUCCUCAGCUUUUUGCCUUUAAAGAACCCAACUUCCAGACACUUCUGAGACUGCAACACAUGAAGAAGCCUUGGGAGCUAAACAACAAUCCUUUCAUUCCUGAAAUGGAAACCCAAGUUCAAGGCCUAGAGCUGGAAAGUUGUGUCACCCAUGAAACAAUACUCGACUUACAUUCACCAGUCAAAUCCGAGACCAAAGAGCUUAAGAAAAGCCCACCUUCAAGCUCAUGCGUUGAAGUUCUCAGCUCUGGGUCUAACCAACACCAACAAAAGUCUGACAAUUGUAGCAGAGAACCCAACUUGGGCUCCUCGCCUCAGAAGAUUUUCACAAAGUCCCCUCCGAUUACUAGAGAACGAAGAAAGCGAAAACGAACGAAGGCAGCCAAGAACAAAGAAGAAGUUGAAAGCCAACGCAUGACCCACAUUGCCGUUGAACGAAACCGUAGACGUCAAAUGAACGAUUAUCUAAAUUCUCUCCGCUCUCUCAUGCCUCCAUGUUAUAUCCAAAGAGGUGACCAAGCGUCAAUCAUAGCUGGUGCAAUUGACUUCGUUAAGGAGCUAGAGCAAUUUCUUCAAUCCCUGGAAGCACAGAAGAGAACGAGAAAAGUCGAGGAAAGCAACAAUAGCAUGUCAAAGCCCACCAUGGAAAUUCAUCAGCAAGAAUAUGAAAAUGGAUCUGAAGAUGGACAUUGCGGGGAGGAAGUAAAAGCAGAAAGCAAAACAGGUGCAGCUGAAGUAGAGGUUAAUGUAAUACACAAUCAUGCCAACUUAAAGAUUCAGUGUUCAAGAAGAGCUGGUCAGUUGAUACAAGCCAUUGUCACCCUGGAAACUCUUAGAUUAACGGUUUUGCACCUCAACAUCACCACUUCGCAAGCAUCUGUUCUUUACUCGUUCAAUCUCAAGAUGGAGGACGACUCUGCGCUAAGAUCAGCGGAUGAGAUAGCAGCAGCAGUUCAUCAAAUAUUCAGCUAAAUUCAAAAUUAAAAUUAAAAAAAAAAGAGGAUUUGGUCAUUAUUCAUUAGGCAGCUGACUUGAUUCCUGAAGCGAAAGUAGGGUAGAAAAGAGCAGACCAGGAAAAAAAAGGUUCUUGAGGUGACAAACCUUUUUGGGUAAACACAAAGUAGAAGUAAUGGAUAUUGGGUGGACGGUACAAAACUACAAGGGCAAGAAGAAGAAGAAGAAAAAGAAAGGCGGGGGUUUAGACGGAAAUAAUAAAAAGUCGAAGGUGCUAAUUUGACGAAGCUUAUAGAGCAAGUGAGCAACCCCACGGAAAGUUGUCAUACGGGUAAGAGAAAGGGAGAUAGAGGCAAAUGCAGAAGGGCGCAACAGCUUAAAGUACACAUCCCCAUGUGAAAGAAUCAAAAGAAGACCGGGCCGCAGACAAAUCGCUCUCUUAUUGUAGCCAAUGUCCUAGUCAUUUUGGGUCUUCGUGUUCCUUCUUUUUGACAGCCUUUCCCUUCCCAAGCUCAGUCCUAAUCCUCCAUUGUUAUUCAUCGAAUGUAUAAAUGAUUACACUUUAGCGAAUGAUGUCCCCCUUUUUAUAUUGA